UCCAAUUUCAAUCCACCUUCAAUCACUUCCUUAUUCUCAACCAUCUCAUAUGCAUUCUGAACCGCCUGCAAUUCUGUCACCAAUCUCUCUACAGCAGCUUCUCUCACAGAAACAUCUGCUGAUGCCAAGUCCUUGAAAACACCAAUAUGGAACUCAGGCAAAUCACCAUUGGAUGAUCCCACUAUCUGCCCCCGAGUUUCAUUAACAUCUUUUUCUACUUCCAUUAGUUUAGGCUUUGAUUCUUGAUUUUCCAAAGCGAGGCGGUGCCUUUCUUUGUCCAAAGCCUCCUUUCCUUCCUUCUUUCCAUGGGUUUUACUGAACUAGGAACAGCAGGAGCAUCCCCAUGUGCUGUUUCUUCAUCUUUUUUCUUACUCUUCUUCAGUUUCUUCUUAAGAGGAUUAGAAGCUACAUUCUCAGUGUUAGAAUCUACCAAAUUAUCUACUUCCUCGACAGAACCAGAACUCCUUUUCUUGCUUCCCAUUCAAGC
rnacentral:misc_RNA from 1 species